rnacentral:lncRNA from 1 species
GUCUUUUGCCUUUGGAUUCACACAUCAGAAGAGCCAUCCUGCCCACAGAUUCUUGCCUUUUGGAGAGGGCUGAAUUCUCUGCUGCCGUUGCUAGGCCCACACAGUGACUUCUGCAGCUGGAAUCUGACUUGGAUGCUAAGGGUGCCUACAGAAAGUGAUCUGAGCCCAAUCAGAAAACCCAGGAAAGUGUGGAAUUCUGAAUUAUGGUCCUGGGCUGCCCGCAUCACACCUGAAUGUGCUUGGCAAGAAGAGGACACUCAGCCAUUGAAAAUCGCUUCAAGUUUUCCUUGGCAGUAAAUGGAUGUAUGACAUGAAAAAUACUCAAGAAUGGGCAUUCACAACUCUUCCUCACUUAGAAGAAUUCGCAGCAUUUUUUUCCACCUUGAGGACUUCUGUAUACGCUAGGUCAGCACACAAACUUUUAUUUGACAGAAUCUGAGUGCUGGGAGAGGGGAAAUAUCUGUAUUGAUUUAUUUCAGAAAGUUAUGGGUAGAAAAGAAUGUAGUUAAUCAAGAAGAUUAGAAGGUUCAUUGCCCUGCUGUAAAAUUUAAGCUCCAUGAGAGCAGGGAUUUUGUGUGACAUGUUCUCCAGUUUAUCCCUGUUCUUGAAAUGCUUGGCACACAGUAGGUGUUGUUUCAAAUGUGUUGAAAGAAUGAGUGACAUUGGCCCAUACCAGGUGGGCUGUGGGUGAUGGAAGGGAGAGAUCUUGGAAGUUGAGGGAGGCAGGUGGUGCUGACAUGUGGCUGCUGUGUAUGUGAGCUUUUGAGAAAGAUGGGAAAAGGUUUUAGAUUUUGCUGUGAGUUAUGAACAAAUCCUUCCUUGGCUUUUUUUUUUUUUCAGAUGCUAGUAAAGAUUCAAAAGAUUGACAAUGAUUUCUUGGAUGUUGGACCGAUGUUUCACUGAAUGAGAAACUUAAAGGUGAGAGAGAGAAGACAAGGCAGAAAGAGCUACGAUAAAGCCACAGCAGCAAAACCUGUGGGUGUUUGCUGUGUCUCAGACCCUUUCCGAAGUGCUUGUCAGGAUCCCACGCUUGGCUGGAGUUGGGCAGAGUCCCUUUCUGGCGAAAGUUGCUUGAAGUUUCAGGUUACACGUGCCCCACCGGGACACAGGCCGACCUGA